rnacentral:lncRNA from 1 species
GGCUGGGUUGGUUGCUUUGAGGGUGCGUUUCGUAGGGUCCUUCCUUCGUUGGCUCCUCCCCGUCCUCUUGGUGCUGCGCCCCCACCCCAGAUGUGUAGAGCGCACCAGUCCGUCUGGCGGGAGGCGUGGCGCCCAGCGUGCCCGGGGGGGAGGGGCCCGGCGCCUGGAUCUCUCUGGUGUGCUCGGGACUGGAGUUCAGGCGAAGUGGGUGGCCACGAGAAUCCAAGCGCACGGGGACGAUUUCCCUGGCGGCUGGCCGAAGCCAUGUCCUUCUCGCGGAACAAGACAGCCAGGCGUCCUGGAGCGGACGGAGGUCUCGGCUGACGUCUGUGGAACCCGCUGCCCACUGCCCGCCCCUUGGCCGGGCUUGGACGCUUGGGGCGGCGCCGGAUGAGUGAAUCGAACUGCCUGGGCGUCCCGGGAGAAAGCAAGGCCCCGACAGGGCGGGGAAGCGGCGCCUGCCUGCGGAUUCGGAAGUGGGGUCCGGGUCCCGUCCCUCCCGGCCCCGGCGGAAGUGGCGGUAUGCUGCUGGCCGGGGUGCUGCCGUGGCGGAUCCAGCCACUGCCCCCCUGCCCCCCGCGGAGGUCCCAGGCUGCGGCGGGGUCGCGGACGGGCGCAAAAGGGGGAGUAGAGUCGGGGGCCGCUGGAGAAGCACAGCGACAACAGAGGGACAAAAGAAGGCAGGGAGCCGUCGGAAGAGCCAAAAAGCCUACAGCACCCGGUAUUCCCAGGCGGUCUCCCAUCCAAGUACUAACCAGGCCCGACCCUGCUUAGCUUCCGAGAUCAGACGAGAUCGGGCGCGUUCAGGGUGGUAUGAAGCCUACAGCACCCGGUAUUCCCAGGCGGUCUCCCAUCCAAGUACUAACCAGGCCCGACCCUGCUUAGCUUCCGAGAUCAGACGAGAUCGGGCGCGUUCAGGGUGGUAUGGCCGUAGACGCUGGCGGUGGCCUGUGCCUGCCCCAAAAGGCGGCCCGCAGCCACGCCCGCCCGACUCCAGGCCUCACGGCCAGCCCGCCCGCCCGCGGCCAGCCUGGGCCGCUCUUCCACUCUAUGCCCUGGCACCCCCGGCGCCGCGCUGCGCCUUGCGUCGGCCUCUCAGAGCCUCCCGUUGUCGCUGGCGGGGACGACAGGGUAUGCUCCGAGCGGUCAGGGUCCUGGGACUUCCUCCGGCCCUCCGCCUUGCAGCCGCCGCCGCCGCCGAGGGAUACUUGUGGAUCCGUCGCCGCCCCUCCGGCAAGGUCCCCUCUUGCCCCUUCCACUCAGAGCCGCCGCGGCUGCCCAGGAACGAAGGGCCGGCCCGGCCCCGCGGGUUCUUUUUCUCACAACGCACCCACCACGGUCCCUUGUCCGGCUCAGGGGCCGGGGAGGCGGAGCCCUUGCUGUGUCCCGCGCUGGCGCUAGAGCCGGCAGCCUGAUCCCGGCAAGAGAGGGGCCGAGGCACUCGCAGAAGGAGAGCAGAGGACAGCCAAAUGGAGAGACAGAAACAAACGGAGAGAGACACACAGACGACAGAGGCGGACAGACAGACACACACACAGAAAGACACGGGGUGAGGGGGGAGAGGGGGAGAGAGACAGACAGACAGACAGAGAGAGAGAGAGAGAGAGAGAGAGAGAGAGAGAGAGACGGAGACGGAGACAGAGACCGACAGAACGAGCGCCAGCUAGAGGGGGGAGAACAGAAAGGGAGGGGCUGAGGCAGCUAGAGAGCCACAGCGAUAGAGCCUUGGCGUGCCAGCGCUCUGCUCUAAUAGACAGGGCCUCUUGGAGCAGGCCGACGUGGGGUGGAGGCUGCUUGGGCUGGGUCAGGACCGGAUGGCAGGGCCGCCCACGCGGCAGGACCGCCGGCGCCCUGACAGGUGUUUCUUCUUGGCUUGGUUGGGUGCGCUGGGAGGGGCGGGUGCGUUUGCCGGGGUCCUUCCUUUGUUGGCUCCUCCCCGACCACUUGCUGCGGUGGGCCCCGCGAUCUGCAGAGAGACGGGGCCCGAGGCCUGCGUCUCUCUCGUGCCCUCGAGGCUGGUGUUUUCGCGAAGUUGGCGGCGGUGGUGUAGGGCUCAUGGCCCCGCAGGGUCGUGGGGUGAGCCUUAGGCCGUGCUGAGGCGCAGGGUCCGAGAAAUAGAGAGACAGGACACAGAAGUACAAGAGAAACGCAGCUGGGCUGGGGGGCCGGGGGGCCGGGGGUCGGGGGGGGGGCACGCCACCUAUAAGCAGAGUCGGGCGAGGUCCCGAAUGUCCCGAAGCAUGAGUAUUUACGGUGUACAGGUUAGGGGGCAGGGCAGUGAGUGAAAUCAUCUUUAAAGAUAGUGAUAGGGUCAUGAGCAAUAAAACAUCGCGUCCACCUCCAUUAGGUCACCUAGGCCAGGAGGUGGACAGUGCACGGCGAGGGGCCCGUUCCCACGAAGGCAAGGGCCGUGCUCAGUAAGGGGUCCACCCCCAUCAGGUCACCGAGGUUUGAAGGCCGGCCGUGCGCAGUGUGCAAUACUUCUAUCUACGGUCAAACUACUUCUAAGAAGAUUUAUAGGAGGAUGCUUUAAGUCACAAAGCGGUGACAGAGCUGUCAGGGUUACAGGUUUCCCUUAAAUCAUGCUCUGCAGUGUGUCUGCUCUAAGGCAUUCCUCUGAUUGUACGCUGCUUAUUCCUUAAUUCAUGCUCUGUACCGUGUCCACUCCAGGCAUUCCUGCGAUUAGGAACUAAGAUAGGAUUUUUAGCUAUAUAUGUAGGGAAAUACUCUUUAGGCACUCGUGCUCUCAACUAUUAUAUGAUUAUAUAGAGAGGAUGAUAUAAAGGGAUUCGUCAAGCCCUAUUUCUAUAAACUAAUAUGUGAUUAUAUAAACGACUGUCUAGAAGGAAAUCGCUGAGUAGUAACGCGAUAAAGUGGGAUAUUCCUCAAGCCCCAACUGUG